rnacentral:misc_RNA from 1 species
AAGUCGUAACAAGGUUUCCGUAGGUGAACCUGCGGAAGGAUCAUUAAAAAAGAAUUUAAUGAAUGGUCGGAGGGGAACAUUUUUUGUUCCCCUUUUGGCUUUAUUCAACCAACCCGCUCUUGUAUUUUGUAUCAAACAAAAAAUUUUUUUAAAACUAAUAAAAAUAGUAAUGUAAAAAAAAACUUUCAACAACGGAUCUCUUGGCUCUC